rnacentral:rRNA from 1 species
UGCGUAGACGGUUAUUUAAGUCGGGUGUGAAAGCCCCGGGCUCAACCUGGGAAUUGCAUUCGAGACUGAAUAGCUAGGGUGCGGAAGAGGGAAGCGGAAUUUCCGGUGUAGCGGUGAAAUGCGUAGAUAUCGGAAGGAACACCAGUGGCGAAAGCGGCUUCCUGGUCCAGCACCGACGUUCAGGCACGAAAGCGUGGGGAGCAAACA